UUGUUGUUUGGUUGUAUACAAGGAGUUGUAUAUUGAAAUUGAAUUGAUUCUUGUUUCAUUGAAUUAUUGAAUAUAGAGGAGUUGUUCUGUUGCAAGUUGUUCUGAUUUGUAUAUUGAAAUUGAAUUGUUUCUUGUUUCAUUGAAUAUAGAGGAGUUGUUCUGUUGCAAGUUGUUCUAGUUUUGUUGUUUUAAAAUCUGAGAAAAACUAUUUAUAGAUAAUGGUGAACUUAAACAAGAAAUGGGCAUGCAGUUUGCUGAUUACUUAAUUGUGUACUCACAACACAUAGGAUUUCUCCGACACAGUUUCCAGUACAGAACUGCCACAGGAAUCUCCAGUGGAGUUGCAACCGCUCUCACGGACGUCCACAAAUCAAGUUACAAAACUGUUACAUGACUCUCUAUUGGAGUUGCAACCGCAAUUGGAUAAAAGUGAAAUUCGAAUAAUGCCAGAAAUACUAUAACCGUCCAAAGUGAUAGUGUGAAAUUAGAAUCAAAUGAUUAUGUAUAAAUCAUAUUGAUAAUAAUUAUAAAUAGUAGCUGUAUUUUUUAAAUAAACAGAUUUGAUAAGUUA